rnacentral:rRNA from 1 species
AUGGCUCCCCUGCUUUGCUCAGGACGUACAACGAUGCCAAGGUCUGGCCCUUCUUCAUGGAGAUGGAUGGAUUGGAGGGUCGACGACUCCAACAAUGAAAUCCACCAUGCGCUCGGCGUCCACAGUGCAGUCCACCAUCGACGAGGCCUCCAAUGCGGCUUCAUCUUCAACGCCGACGUGCAGUGGCGAGGCCGUGGUCGUCGGACAUGGUGGCGGCAGGCCGAAGAGUGGCGUGCUGGUGGAGUGCAGGAUCUGCCAGGAGGACAGCGACGAGACCUGCAUGGAGGCCAAUUGCUCCUGCAAGGGCAGCUUGAAGCUGAAUUGAAUCAGUGUCUCUUUCAGUAUGCUCACCGGACAUGCGUCCAGAGGUGGUGCGACGAGAAGGGGGACACCAUAUGUGAGAUAUGCUUAAAGCAAUUCACACCAAACUACAAGGCUCCUUCCAAGCUGUUUCAGCAGGGAAGAAACUCCAUCUUCUUAAGUGUGGAGUGCAAUGCCUCGUACGAGUACCACUCCCUCUACGCCUACUUCGACAGGGACAAUGUUGCCCUUAAGGGCUUUUCCAAGUUCUUUAAGGAAUCGAGCGACGAGGAGAGGGAACACGCGGAGAUGCUUAUGGAGUACCAGAACAGACGUGGAGGGCGGGUGAGGCUCCAGUCUAUCGUGACCCCAUUGACAGAGUUCGACCACUCUGAGAAAGGCGAUGCUCUGUAUGGUGCCCGGUUUGUGCUCGCUACCGAAGGAGCUCCAUGUUGA